rnacentral:lncRNA from 1 species
UCAUUGACAUAGGGCAUUAUGUACGUGAUAUCAGUGCUUAUGAAGAAUUGGUAUCCAAGCUGAAUUUAUUAGUGGAGGAUGAACUGAAGCAAAUUGCUGAAAAUAUUGAAAGCAUUAAUCAGAACAAAGCUCCUUUGAAAUAUAUAGGCAACUAUGCAAUUUUGGAUCAUCUUGGAAGUGGAGCUUUUGGCUGUGUUUACAAGCUUUAUCAUCCCAACAUUGUACGUUAUUACAAAACAUUUCUGGAAAAUGAUAGGUUGUACAUAGUUAUGGAGCUGAUAGAAGGAGCCCCGCUUGGAGAGCAUUUCAGUUCUUUGAAGGAAAAACAUCACCAUUUUACUGAAGAAAGACUAUGGAAAAUAUUUAUACAGCUGUGCUUAGCUCUUCGAUACUUACACAAGGAGAAGAGGAUUGUCCAUAGAGAUCUGACACCAAACAACAUUAUGUUGGGGGAUAAGGACAAAGUAACCGUUACUGACUUUGGCCUGGCAAAGCAAAAACAAGAAAACAGUAAACUCACCUCUGUGGUUGGAACAAUCCUGUAUUCUUGUGGUUUCAUGAGAAGAUGCAAAGAAACUGUGGCAGGCUAACAUGUACCUUGUAAGCUGCAAGCUUAUAUGAUGUCUACUUAUCCUCUUAACAGUAAGGCUGACCUACUCGUUACUUUCUGAGAGAAGAAUAAUUUUCUUUUGUUUCACUGUGUACUGUUUUUAUAAAAUAAACAAUAAAAUUUGAUCAUAAAA